rnacentral:rRNA from 1 species
GACGAACGCUGGCGGCGUGCCUAAUACAUGCAAGUCGAACGAACUCUGGUAUUGAUUGGUGCUUGCAUCAUGAUUUACAUUUGAGUGAGUGGCGAACUGGUGAGUAACACGUGGGAAACCUGCCCAGAAGCGGGGGAUAACACCUGGAAACAGAUGCUAAUACCGCAUAACAACUUGGACCGCAUGGUCCGAGCUUGAAAGAUGGCUUCGGCUAUCACUUCUGGAUGGUCCCGCGGCGUAUUAGCUAGAUGGUGAGGUAACGGCUCACCAUGGCAAUGAUACGUAGCCGACCUGAGAGGGUAAUCGGCCACAUUGGGACUGAGACACGGCCCAAACUCCUACGGGAGGCAGCAGUAGGGAAUCUUCCACAAUGGACGAAAGUCUGAUGGAGCAACGCCGCGUGAGUGAAGAAGGGUUUCGGCUCGUAAAACUCUGUUGUUAAAGAAGAACAUAUCUGAGAGUAACUGUUCAGGUAUUGACGGUAUUUAACCAGAAAGCCACGGCUAACUACGUGCCAGCAGCCGCGGUAAUACGUAGGUGGCAAGCGUUGUCCGGAUUUAUUGGGCGUAAAGCGAGCGCAGGCGGUUUUUUAAGUCUGAUGUGAAAGCCUUCGGCUCAACCGAAGAAGUGCAUCGGAAACUGGGAAACUUGAGUGCAGAAGAGGACAGUGGAACUCCAUGUGUAGCGGUGAAAUGCGUAGAUAUAUGGAAGAACACCAGUGGCGAAGGCGGCUGUCUGGUCUGUAACUGACGCUGAGGCUCGAAAGUAUGGGUAGCAAACAGGAUUAGAUACCCUGGUAGUCCAUACCGUAAACGAUGAAUGCUAAGUGUUGGAGGGUUUCCGCCCUUCAGUGCUGCAGCUAACGCAUUAAGCAUUCCGCCUGGGGAGUACGGCCGCAAGGCUGAAACUCAAAGGAAUUGACGGGGGCCCGCACAAGCGGUGGAGCAUGUGGUUUAAUUCGAAGCUACGCGAAGAACCUUACCAGGUCUUGACAUACUAUGCAAAUCUAAGAGAUUAGACGUUCCCUUCGGGGACAUGGAUACAGGUGGUGCAUGGUUGUCGUCAGCUCGUGUCGUGAGAUGUUGGGUUAAGUCCCGCAACGAGCGCAACCCUUAUUAUCAGUUGCCAGCAUUAAGUUGGGCACUCUGGUGAGACUGCCGGUGACAAACCGGAGGAAGGUGGGGAUGACGUCAAAUCAUCAUGCCCCUUAUGACCUGGGCUACACACGUGCUACAAUGGAUGGUACAACGAGUUGCGAACUCGCGAGAGUAAGCUAAUCUCUUAAAGCCAUUCUCAGUUCGGAUUGUAGGCUGCAACUCGCCUACAUGAAGUCGGAAUCGCUAGUAAUCGCGGAUCAGCAUGCCGCGGUGAAUACGUUCCCGGGCCUUGUACACACCGCCCGUCACACCAUGAGAGUUUGUAACACCCAAAGUCGGUGGGGUAACCUUUUAGGAACCAGCCGCCUAAGGUGGGACAGAUGAUUAGGGUG